rnacentral:rRNA from 1 species
GACGAACGCUGGCGGCGUGCUUAACACAUGCAAGUCGAACGGAAAGGCCCUGCUUUUGUGGGGUGCUCGAGUGGCGAACGGGUGAGUAACACGUGAGUAACCUGCCCUUGACUUUGGGAUAACUUCAGGAAACUGGGGCUAAUACCGGAUAGGAGCUCCUGCUGCAUGGUGGGGGUUGGAAAGUUUCGGCGGUUGGGGAUGGACUCGCGGCUUAUCAGCUUGUUGGUGGGGUAGUGGCUUACCAAGGCUUUGACGGGUAGCCGGCCUGAGAGGGUGACCGGCCACAUUGGGACUGAGAUACGGCCCAGACUCCUACGGGAGGCAGCAGUGGGGAAUAUUGCACAAUGGGCGGAAGCCUGAUGCAGCAACGCCGCGUGCGGGAUGACGGCCUUCGGGUUGUAAACCGCUUUCGCCUGUGACGAAGCGUGAGUGACGGUAAUGGGUAAAGAAGCACCGGCUAACUACGUGCCAGCAGCCGCGGUGAUACGUAGGGUGCGAGCGUUGUCCGGAUUUAUUGGGCGUAAAGGGCUCGUAGGUGGUUGAUCGCGUCGGAAGUGUAAUCUUGGGGCUUAACCCUGAGCGUGCUUUCGNAUACGGUUGACUUGAGGAAGGUAGGGGAGAAUGGAAUUCCUGGUGGAGCGGUGGAAUGCGCAGAUAUCAGGAGGAACACCAGUGGCGAAGGCGGUUCUCUGGGCCUUCCCUGACGCUGAGGAGCGAAAGCGUGGGGAGCGAACAGGCUUAGAUACCCUGGUAGUCCACGCUGUAAACGGUGGGUACUAGGUGUGGGGUCCAUUCCACGGGUUCCGUGCCGUAGCUAACGCUUUAAGUACCCCGCCUGGGGAGUACGGCCGCAAGGCUAAAACUCAAAGGAAUUGACGGGGCCCCGCACAAGCGGCGGAGCAUGCGGAUUAAUUCGAUGCAACGCGUAGAACCUUACCUGGGUUUGACAUGGAUCGGGAGUGCUCAGAGAUGGGUGUGCCUCUUUUGGGGUCGGUUCACAGGUGGUGCAUGGCUGUCGUCAGCUCGUGUCGUGAGAUGUUGGGUUAAGUCCCGCAACGAGCGCAACCCUUGUUCACUGUUGCCAGCACGUUAUGGUGGGGACUCAGUGGAGACCGCCGGGGUCAACUCGGAGGAAGGUGGGGAUGACGUCAAGUCAUCAUGCCCCUUAUGUCCAGGGCUUCACGCAUGCUACAAUGGCUGGUACAGAGAGUGGCGAGCCUGUGAGGGUGAGCGAAUCUCGGAAAGCCGGUCUCAGUUCGGAUUGGGGUCUGCAACUCGACCUCAUGAAGUCGGAGUCGCUAGUAAUCGCAGAUCAGCAACGCUGCGGUGAAUACGUUCCCGGGGCU